CAGCCGCCGCGGGAAUACGUAGGUGGCAAGCGUUGUCCGGAAUUAUUGGGCGUAAAGGGCUCGCAGGCGGUUUCUUAAGUCUGAUGUGAAAGCCCCCGGCUCAACCGGGGAGGGUCAUUGGAAACUGGGAAACUUGAGUGCAGAAGAGGAGAGUGGAAUUCCACGUGUAGCGGUGAAAUGCGUAGAGAUGUGGAGGAACACCAGUGGCGAAGGCGACUCUCCGGUCUGUAACUGACGCUGAGGAGCGAAAGCGUGGGGAGCGAACAGGAUUAGAUACCCCUGUAGUCCCUGUCUCUUAUAC
rnacentral:rRNA from 1 species